rnacentral:rRNA from 1 species
UACGGAGGGUGCAAGCGUUGCUCGGAAUUAUUGGGCGUAAAGGGGAGGUAGGUGGUCUCGUUUGUCGGGGGUGAAAUCCCGGGGCUUAACCCCGGAACUGCCCUCGAAACGGCGAGACUAGAGUAUUGGAGAGGGUCGUGGAAUACCCGGUGUAGCGGUGAAAUGCGUAGAGAUCGGGUGGAACACCAGAGGCGAAGGCGACGACCUGGACAAUUACUGACACUCAACUCCGAAAGCAUGGGGAGCAAACAGG